UGUUUUGGAAUUUCUUUCGGC
ensembl:piRNA 21ur-419 ncRNA